UCCUUUUUAAUCCCUGCAGCUUAAGACCGGUUAUUCACUGAAGCUAAGCAUGGCUGAGCUUGGUUAGUACCUGGAUGGGAGACCACAUGGGAAAACUAGGUUAUUGUUGGAA
rnacentral:rRNA from 1 species